CAGCGCCGCGGGAAUACGGAGGGUGCAAGCGUUAAUCGGAAUUACUGGGCGUAAAGCGCACGCAGGCGGUCUGACAAGUCAGAUGUGAAAUCCCCGGGCUUAACCUGGGAACUGCAUUUGAAACUGUCAGGCUGGAGUCUUGUAGAGGGGGGUGGAAUUCCAGGUGUAGCGGUGAAAUGCGUAGAGAUCUGGAGGAAUACCGGUGGCGAAGGCGGCCCCCUGGACAAAGACUGACGCUCAGGUGCGAAAGCGUGGGGAGCAAACAGGAUUAGAUACCCGAGUAGUCCCUGUCUCUUAUACC
rnacentral:rRNA from 1 species